GGUGAGGCCCUCUCUUUGCAUUGAUGCGAGGCGGCUAGCUAUGAUUUGGCCCGACGGACGUAUUACCUCCGAGUGUGAGGUUAGGGAUGUUGGCCUCGCGGGACCACUAGCCUAUGGAUUAAGACCAGAAAAUAUUUUAUCUAAUUGGGCCACCUAACCUAGGACCAGUACCCCUCAAAUAUUUUUAGGAAAUAGUGGGUUCUGGCGUAGUACCUGAAAAGUGAGUCAGGCUGAUCUCUCAAUGAAGUAACUGUGAUAUUGUCGGGUAGUUGACCUGUGGAUAUAAGAUGAUAUAUAAAUAUCUGAAAAUGGGGUAGUAGUUAGGCCAGAUCGUGGACCUUAGAACCAGAACCUACCCGAUAACUGCGGAGGAGAUAUAACCAAGAGAAAUAGGCUUCUUGCUUGUAAAAAGCUACCGUUCCAAUGACUAAACCUAGGAGAGUAAAUUAUAUAUUUUACCUAAUAUCAUAUGUUUAUAUGGUCAUUUAUAUGAAUCAUAUGACAAUGUUACCAACCUAUAAAGUAUAAAUGAUACCGAUCUCAGGGUCCCCAAAUAUUAAUAUGAAUUCUGGUAAGGAAACCUGUUGGAAGAUGUCAGAAAUCAGGAUUCUAAUUAAGUGUAGCAUAAAUUUAAUUUUUAUGGUGUAAUAUCAUUAUUGACCGGUAGGGGGCGAGAUUCCACCUAAGAAGUGGAUGCAGGAUCGUGUAUAAUUAGUGAGUAAAGCGCAAAUUUAACUAGAGUGUGAUUACAGUACACAAUGAAUACGUUUUGUUUGGUAGAAAAAUCCUAAGUAUAUGGCCGAAUGCAGCGUUCGUUUAAAUGUUAAAU